rnacentral:rRNA from 1 species
CCUACGGGAGGCAGCAGUGGGGAAUUUUGGACAAUGGGCGCAAGCCUGAUCCAGCCAUGCCGCGUGCAGGAUGAAGGCCUUCGGGUUGUAAACUGCUUUUGUACGGAACGAAAAGACUCUGGUUAAUACCUGGGGUCCAUGACGGUACCGUAAGAAUAAGCACCGGCUAACUACGUGCCAGCAGCCGCGGUAAUACGUAGGGUGCGAGCGUUAAUCGGAAUUACUGGGCGUAAAGCGUGCGCAGGCGGUUAUAUAAGACAGAUGUGAAAUCCCCGGGCUCAACCUGGGAACUGCAUUUGUGACUGUAUAGCUAGAGUACGGCAGAGGGGGAUGGAAUUCCGCGUGUAGCAGUGAAAUGCGUAGAUAUGCGGAGGAACACCGAUGGCGAAGGCAAUCCCCUGGGCCUGUACUGACGCUCAUGCACGAAAGCGUGGGGAGCAAACAGGAUUAGAUACCCUGGUAGUCCACGCCCUAAACGAUGUCAACUGGUUGUUGGGUCUUCACUGACUCAGUAACGAAGCUAACGCGUGAAGUUGACCGCCUGGGGNGACGCGCGAGUAGAACGACGAAGAGUAGACGNGNGAGAGACGACGACGACGACGAGGAGGGAGGAG